UACGAAGGGUGCAAGCGUUACUCGGAAUUACUGGGCGUAAAGCGUGCGUAGGUGGUUGUUUAAGUCUGUCGUGAAAGCCCUGGGCUCAACCUGGGAAUUGCGAUGGAUACUGGGCGACUAGAGUGUGGUAGAGGGUGGCGGAAUUCCCGGUGUAGCAGUGAAAUGCGUAGAGAUCGGGAGGAACAUCCGUGGCGAAGGCGGCCACCUGGGCCAACACUGACACUGAGGCACGAAAGCGUGGGGAGCAAACAGU
rnacentral:rRNA from 1 species